rnacentral:rRNA from 1 species
CGUGCGGUUCUAUUUUGUUGGUUUCUAGGACCGCCGUAAUGAUUAAUAGGGAUAGUCGGGGGCGUCAGUAUUCAGCUGUCAGAGGUGAAAUUCUUGGAUUUGCUGAAGACUAACUACUGCGAAAGCAUUCGCCAAGGAUGUUUUCAUUAAUCAGGGAACGAAAGUUAGGGGAUCGAAGACGAUCAGAUACCGUCGUAGUCUUAACCAUAAACUAUGCCGACUAGGGAUCGGACGGGAUUCUAUGAUGACCCGUUCGGCACCUUACGAGAAAUCAAAGUGCUUGGGCUCCAGGGGGAGUAUGGUCGCAAGGCUGAAACUUAAAGAAAUUGACGGAAGGGCACCACCAGGGGUGGAGCCUGCGGCUUAAUUUGACUCAACACGG